UAAGGAAUAUUGGGCAAUGGACGCAAGUCUGACCCAGCCAUGCCGCGUGAAGGAUGAAGGUCCUCUGGAUUGUAAACUUCUUUUAUCUGGGGCGAAAAUCGGUUAUUCUUAGCCGCUUGACAGUACCAGAGGAAUAAGCACCGGCUAACUCCGUGCCAGCAGCCGCGGUAAUACGGAGGGUGCAAGCGUUAUCCGGAUUCACUGGGUUUAAAGGGUGCGUAGGUGGGCAGGUAAGUCAGUGGUGAAAUCCCCGAGCUUAACUCGGGAACUGCCGUUGAUACUAUCUGUCUUGAAUAUCGUGGAGGUAAGCGGAAUAUGUCAUGUAGCGGUGAAAUGCUUAGAGAUGACAUAGAACACCAAUUGCGAAGGCAGCUUGCUACACGGUAAUUGACACUGAGGCACGAAAGCGUGGGGAGCAAACAGG
rnacentral:rRNA from 1 species